rnacentral:rRNA from 1 species
GACGAACGCUGGCGGCGUGCUUAACACAUGCAAGUCGAACGAUGAACCCGGAGCUUGCUCCGGCGGAUUAGUGGCGAACGGGUGAGUAACACGUGAGUAACCUGCCCUUGACUCUGGGAUAACUGCUAGAAAUGGUAGCUAAUACCGGAUACGACCCUCGGUGGCAUCACCAGGGGGUGGAAAGAAUUUCGGUCAAGGAUGGACUCGCGGCCUAUCAGCUAGUUGGUGAGGUAACGGCUCACCAAGGCGACGACGGGUAGCCGGCCUGAGAGGGUGACAGGCCACACUGGGACUGAGAAACGGCCCAGACUCCUACGGGAGGAAGCAGUGGGGAAUAUUGCACAAUGGGCGAAAGCCUGAUGCAGCAACGCCGCGUGAGGGAUGACGGCCUUCGGGUUGUAAACCUCUUUUAGUAGGGAAGAAGCGAGAGUGACGGUACCUGCAGAAAAAGCACCGGCUAACUACGUGCCAGCCGCCGCGGUAA